GGUUAUCUUCCUUUGUUUCUUGGUCCGCUUUGGUUCUCGGUAAGGCCUGGCCUCGAGAUUGCACGUUUGGAGGAUUUGAUGGAGCUGGAGCCGUCUGGCUCUCUUGUUCCAGCAGCGCCCAUCUUGGGGCGUUCAAGGAAAAACCCUUUCGGUUAGAAAUCGGUUAGGCGGUCGAAGAAUUUGAUUCAUUCAGGGCAGCUUUGAUCCAUACUUUUGAUUGCUGAUACGAGUGGAAUGCGUGCCAUCUUGGAAUUGACAUUUUUGGUUCUCGAACUUCUUCUUCCCCCCUCUCGAGUCAGGUCGGUUUGGUUGUCUUCACAUUCGUUUGCUCGAUAGUUCUACAUCAUAUUGAUUUGCGCGCAAGCUGCAGAUAACUCUAUUAUCAUCAGGAUGGCUUUAGGAAGACAUCGUCUCGCUGAUCCGGACCUUUACAACCUGCAUCGGAUGCCAUUUAGGUGAGGCUAACUAUGAGUUAUUAGAUCAACAGCACAAGAUCCUACUUGGGGGUUAACAUCAGUCUGCAUCAGAGUGAGCAUUUAUUACUGUGUACCAGCAAUCAUCUGUAUGAGAUUAGACAGACAAUGUCAAGUACACCGUAAAGAAUGUGCUCGGAAACACCACAUUCACCCAACCUAACCCCAGUUUGGAUUUAGGGCCCUCUCUAAUCACAGAUACGAACCACUACAGCUCCAAUCGAAUGAGGCAACGCAAGUGUUGCCUGCCUGGGCCUUCCACUCGCAAUCUGCAUAUUGUUCUGGUAUUGAAUAUUAGGACUUGAAAGAUCAAACAUAAACAGCAAGCAUCUUUACCGGGUGGGGUGCCACAACACAGCAUAGUUUGCGGUCAUCGAUAUGCUCAACAUCUGAUCCUAUGAACCAAGAUCCUAGUGAUACAUCCUCGUUCACGUACUUGUGCAGUAUAUGCCUGAAAUUGAAGGAGUCAGAGAUUUUAUUUCACCAAGAGAGAACCAAAAACAGACAAAUGAGAUGUAGAAUUGAUCAAGAACUGCUGCUCUGUUAGAUUUUAGCUUUGGUUCAAUGAAAGCAUAAUUUGACUACCGAAUUUAUAUCAAAAUUUUCAAGCUAAAGUUGCCUUACUGGUUUAUGGAUAUAUAGGUGGCCAACUCAUUCGAAAUGGCAUACGAUUGACCAGUAGCAUGUCGGAAGUAUUUGUUACCAUCCCCUCCAAAAAACUUGCAGUGUUCAGGUUCAUAAUAUCUCACCCUCCCCCCUAUAGCAUGCAUGAUAUUUUGCCUGUCAGUAUAGAUCACUUGACGAUGCUAAACUAAUCAAUAACCAAAAUCCAUUGUCUAACACUCACUUUCGAGCAAGGACACAGCCACACUUCAUGCAUCCAAUAUAUACUCGAGGUUUCAAACGAUGCAAAAUUUUGAAGGUAAUCAAAAUAAUCUACAUCCCACUAAACAGGAUGGCCGCACCUUGGCUGAUUACAACAUCCAGAAGGAGUCCUCCUCCGCGGAGUCCUCCGCCUCCUUCUGGAUGCUGUAAUCGGCCUGGGUGCGGCCGCCCUCGAACUGCUUGCCGGAGAUGCGCCUCUGCUGGCCCUCUUAUACUGAAUCGGAGCCUCGACAUUGUCGAGGCUCCGAUUCAGAACUGAACAAUGUUCAGAACUGUACCAGUAUUAUUCAGAAACGGUGGUGUGCUGUAGGAAAAAAAAAAAAGAAACGGUGUUUGCACUGACAAAAAAGAAAAAAAAACGGUGCAAUGUUCAGAACAUGGUUAAUGUUCUGAACACGGCGGCAAUAAUGGCCACGCGAAAGUUCCUCUCUCUCGUCGUCCUCCUCGUCAUCUCCGCCCCCGCUUCCUCUUCCCUCCCCUUCAUCGUCUUGCACGGGAUCGGAGAUCAGUGUGCCAAUAAAGGGGUUGCGCAGUUUACCCAGCUUUUGAGCGAUUGGUCUCGCUCCAAGGGAUACUGCAUAGAAAUUGGAGAUGGAGUCUGGGACUCUUGGGUUAUGCCACUUCAGGAACAGGCAGAUGUUGUAUGUCAGAAGGUAAAGGAGAUGGAGGAACUUAGCAUGGGUUACAACAUAGUUGGUCUUUCGCAGCAACAUUGGGAAACACUUUAGCAAGGCAACGUUUGAAACCUCGAGUAUAUAUUGGAUGCAUGAAGUGUGGCUGUGUCCUUGCUCGAAAGGGGGGUGAGAUAUUAUGAACCUGAACACUGCAAGUUUUUUGGAGGGGAUGGCAACAAAUACUUCCGACAUGCUACUGGUCAAUCGUAUGCCAUUUCGAAUGAGUUGGCCACCUAUAUAUCCAUAAACCAGUAUCACAGACCAGUUGGGAGACUGCACCGCUCUUAACCACUUGAAGUCAUCCACAUUGGCCCAAUUCCCCGUUUCCUCCUCCAGCCCGGAGUCUCUCAGCUCCUCGAUCCCUUCGUAGAACAAUAAGUUUCCUGUCUUGAAAAUGACAGGAAAACAACGUCAAGGCCGGGGAAGGGGCAUACUUUGUAGCGUAAAUGCUGCAUACUUCGAUUAGGACCGUUCUUAACAUAGCGAAAGAUAGAACGGGUGGUAUCCGAGGCGAGAUUUGGGUUCGCAAAUAGACCCAAUCGUUGAGUUAGAUUUGGGUUCGUGUAAAUGUAAUAAGGGUUGCAAUUAGGUGAAAUUGACUUGGGUCAGGUCAGACCGCAGAAGCAACUGAUGAGAGUGGAUGUAAAGACCAAAUAAUUAAAUGAGGAUAUAAGUGAUAGUAAGUGUAUGUUUGAAUAAUGAAAUGUGUAUUAAGGUCCGAUGCAUAUUUCAAAUAUGAAUUGAUGUUUCAUACA